rnacentral:rRNA from 1 species
CACACGUGCUACAAUGGCGGAAACANAGGGAUGCGAGCCGGUGACGGCAAGCGAACCCCAAAAACACCGUCCCAGUUCGGACUGUAGUCUGCAACCCGACUACACGAAGCCGGAAUCGCUAGUAAUCGCGGAUCAGAAUGCCGCGGUGAAUACGUUCCCGGGUCUUGUACACACCGCCCGUCAAGCCAUGGGAGCCGGGGGUACCUGAAGUGCGUAACCGCGAGGAGCGCCCUAGGGUAAAACUGGUGACUGGGGCUAAGUCGUAACAAGGUAGC